UGCAAAACACUAUCAGGGAUGCCCAGG
rnacentral:piRNA from 1 species